rnacentral:rRNA from 1 species
GACGAACGCUGGCGGCGUGCUUAACACAUGCAAGUCGAACGGAAAGGCCCUGCUUUUGUGGGGUGCUCGAGUGGCGAACGGGUGAGUAACACGUGAGUAACCUGCCCUUGACUUUGGGAUAACUUCACGAAAAUGGGGCUAAUACAGGAUAGGAGAUCCUGCUGCAUGGUGGGGGUUGGAAAGUUUCGGCGGUUGGGGAUGGACUCGCGGCUUAUCCGCUUGUUGGUGGGGUAGUGGCUUACCAAGUCUUUGAAGGAUAGCCGGCCUGGGAGGUUGGCCGGCCACAUUACGACUGAGGUACGGCCCAGUCUCCUACGCGAGGCAGCAGUGGGGAAUAUGGCACAAUGAGCGGAAGCCUGAUGCGGCAACGCCCCGUUCGGGAAGACGGCCUUCGAGUUGUGAACAGCUUUCGCCUGUGACGAAGAGUGAGUGACGGUAAUGGGUAAAGAAGCACCGGCUAACUACGUG